rnacentral:rRNA from 1 species
UACGUAGGGUGCAAGCGUUAAUCGGAAUUACUGGGCGUAAAGCGUGCGCAGGCGGUUUUGUAAGUCUGUCGUGAAAGCCCUGGGCUCAACCUGGGAAUUGCGUUGGAGACUGCAAGGCUAGAAUCUGGCAGAGGGGGGUAGAAUUCCACGUGUAGCAGUGAAAUGCGUAGAGAUGUGGAGGAACACCGAUGGCGAAGGCAGCCCCCUGGGUCAAGAUUGACGCUCAUGCACGAAAGCGUGGGGAGCAAACAGG